GCUGACACAUCCCAGCCAAUCUCCAGCAGACCCUCCCUCCCAGACCCUCCCACCUCCUGGACAGCAUCCAUGUUGAAGGCAGCUUCAACAUGGAUGCUGUCCAGGAGGUGGGAGGGUCUGGGAGAGAGGGUCUGCUGGAGAUUGGCCGGGAUGUGCCAG